UGAGUAACCUGCCCUUAACUCUGGGAUAAGCCUGGGAAACUGGGUCUAAUACCGGAUAUGACUCCUCAUCGCAUGGUGGGGGGGUGGAAAGCUUUAUUGUGGUUUUGGAUGGACUCGCGGCCUAUCAGCUUGUUGGUGAGGUAAUGGCUCACCAAGGCGACGACGGGUAGCCGGCCUGAGAGGGUGACCGGCCACACUGGGACUGAGACACGGCCCAGACUCCUACGGGAGGCAG
rnacentral:rRNA from 1 species